GCCACUGGGGCUGCCCUUGUCUUGACCUUUGGAAGGCCAAAUAGCUCACUUCCUUGUCAUUUAUGUUUAUGACACUACAAACUGGGCAGUGGUCAAUGUGAUCACUCAUCUGUCUUAGCAGCAUAAAAAUGUCAGUGAUACUCAAGCAUGUCGUUCUGAUUUAGUACUAACAUUUCUGCAUUUACUUUCAUCUAUAGGCCACAUUCUUGAUGUGACUUGGCGUGGAAAUCUCCUUAUCCCCUUCAUGUUGGGAUUCUAUCAGUUAGCGGGGUGUUCAUGUACCACAGAGGCUGCUCUCCAGGAAAGCUCUGACAAACCAGGUGGAAAACUGUCCCGAUAACCAGGUAUGUUAGCUUGGCCAUGCCAGCAGUUCUUGACCCUGGUUGUACACUAGAACCAUUUGGUAUUAUUUAAUAUGACACGGAUACCUGUCCCCCAUCUCUAGAAAUUCUGAUUUGAUUGUACCUGGCCCAGACUGGGGCCAGACUAGACCUCCUAGGUGAUUGUCCUCAUUAGACACUAGCCUGGCUAAUCACCACCAGGUGAUUCUGAGAUGCCAAUGGAGCAGAAUACCACUGACCUCUACGGCAGAGGCGAGGUGCUGGUCACCCUCAUCUGUUCGUGCUGUUAAGAAAACUGAGACAUAGACUCUCAACCUCGUGUGUAAAUACAAAUUCAAGAAAGUCCUG
rnacentral:lncRNA from 1 species